rnacentral:lncRNA from 1 species
AUGCGAGGCUGGGGCCGGUUGCCUACCGGCCGCUUCUCGCCGAGGCAGUCCAGACUUUUCCCCCGGCGGUGCCCGCUCCAAGACAGCAUCUGUCAACGCUCCUCUUCUCCCCUCCUCCUCCUGCCGGGCCGGGCUCCGCCGGCUGCGGCCGAGAGGACGCGGGACCCGGCGCGGUGAGCCCAUCAGCUGUCAGGCGAGCGGCGAAGCGGCUGGAGGGCGGCGAGAGACACACAAAGAACGCGGUGGGCGGCGGCGGCGAAAGGGGACGGCAACUCCUCCCCGCGCCCGCCGGUGCCACCGCCGGCCGUGCUUGUUCCGAGGCCGCGCAGACAAUGCGGCCGGGCUCGUCCCCGCGUGCCCCAGAGUGCGGAGCGCCCGCGCUCCCCCGACCCCAACUUGACCGUCUCCCGGCUCGCCCAGCCCCCUCCCGGGGUAGGGGCGCCCCCUCCCUCCGGUGGCCGGCGAAGGAAGUCGGUCCGCGGCCGCAGAUCCCGGCAACUUGCGAACCGGGAAAAGUUUGCGGCGCCUCCGCGGGGCGGCGCGACGCGGCCCGCCCCUCGCGUCCGCGGUCAUCGCGGGUGACUUUCUCGACUCGUCGUCAGCCGGGGCCGCAGCGCGGCCGGUGGGGACUGCGGGGCGGGCCGGAGUCCGUCCGAGGGCUCCCGCACCUCGGGCUGCGGAUUUCAGGUACUCCACUGGGCAUUUUCUCUUCAUGGAGCUUAUAGCAACAAAAGUGUUUUACAAAACACCAGACAUGUUGGCAUCAUCUCUUAGUUGGGCCAUGUGGCCAGGGAACCCUUCAUGAAACCACCUCUGCAGUCCUGGAGAGUUGCUGUAGAAGAAGGAAAAGAGAGGAAGACAACACAACACAGGAGGGGAUAAGUACCUCUGGACACAAUGGAAGUAGUAGUUGUUGAGCAGAGGGAAAGGGAUAGGAGAAGGAUGUGGACUGCAGUGCUGCAGUGCCAGGUAAUAACUUUGAUCAUGUACCUCCUUGGCUCAGGUGCUGUCUCUUCUACUCUCCUCCUUACUUGUACUACCUUAUUUAGCACUUAAUUAUAUACUUUCUUGACUCACUUUGAGACACACUGAUUAUGUGGUCUGCCUCAAAGACAGAAUCCUAGUUUUGGAUUUUAGCAUUACUGAUCUAUAGCCUUGCAGGGGCUUAAGGAUGGCAGCUGUCUCUCUCCCUUGGGAUCUAGCUUUUGCAAAUAUUGAAGGGAAGAGAUUUCUUUGAUCUUAUAGGAAUAGAUCCACAGUUCCUCUCCAGAUUUGCUUUUAUAGAGAAGUGUGUGUCACCAAAACAAUGGAGAUACGGUCAGAGAGGCCCCUACCCCCAGAAUUUUAAUAUAAUUUUACUUUCUGGGGCAUUUAUUCUUGACAAAUACUUUCUCUCCUAUCAGCUCACUUGUUCCUCACAAAAACCCUAUAAGAUAUUAAUAUUAUUAAACAGACCCCUAUGAAGCACCUCAAGUCUUUCUCUCUUCCCACUUCCAUUCUUGCACACCUUUUGCUAGACUAGUCUCUGCGUUCAUCACAUCAGGUUUCUAAAAUAAAAGUCCCCUAAUAACUUUCUAUUUGUUCUCUCAUCAUAUUGAACCUUUUUUGCCUGGCUUAUAAGGUGGCCUUAAAACCCCAUUUUCCUCUAAACAUUGUCUCUGUAGUUCAGGAAUAUGGCAGGCUCAACACUAUGCUUGAGCCCAUAUUGCUUCCCUCAUUAGUGAUGCCUCCUCUCAGACCACCCAGAUUCUACUCAUUCUUCAAUUUCCAGCUUCUCCUUGGAGCCUUCCCAGAUCAUUAGCUUCUUAAAAAUCCCAGCUUUCUCUGAAUUCUGAUGGUAGCCCCCGUUAUUUGGACAAUUAUGUCCUGGUCUUAAAGUCCUAAUGGGAAAAAAAAGUACAUGAUGGACUUCAUGUAGAGAAGAAAGCACUGGACUGAGUUUUAAGACAGCUGCUAAGGAGCUGUGUGAGCCAAACCAGGUUACUUUACCUCUCUGGAUCUAUAUUUGCUGAUCUGUUAAGUGGAGACAAUUGGGUCAGAUAAUCUUGGUGGUCUUUGCUUAUUCUGAGGUUCUUGGACAACUUGGCCUAGUUCACGUGGGAUGGGAUUGAAGAUCUUACUGAGUUCUUGGAUGGAAAUGUCAGUAAUGGGCACUUAGUGCCUUCAGGACUUGUUCUAUACUAUCCCAGAAAUUUCUGAUGCUAAACUUGGCAAUUUUUAAAUGUCAUAUUCCUUUUCUCCAAACUCUUUAACCACAAGAAUUCAGGGAAGGUUAUGGGGGGUGACUUAGUUAUCUGGAUAAUACAUAUUGUGGACAAUAUAGCAUUAUCCUUGGGAAUGAUUUCAUAUUGUUGAAUAAAUAGGAUCAACUUCUUGAUAAACCUUAGUCCCAAGCAUUUCAUCUUCAUUGGAUAGUGUUACAUAGUAAUAUAUUUAUGUUUUCUUUUAAUCAUUUCAUAACUUGGAAAAUACUAACAUAGUCAAAACUCUAGGGUAGGUGAUACAUGAGUUUCUGUAGUAAUCUGGUUGGAGACAUGUUGUAAUUCUGUAUAUAUAUGUACAUUUAUCCCAUGCAUGUUAUGCCUAAACUAAGACGGAUACCCCUGAAUUAAGAGGUGCUGUUAUACAUUGACCAGGCUUAAGAAUAUCUCUUUAAAGUGUGUCGACAUUUAAUUGACCUUUGGAAGUUCAUUCUGUUAAUCAUACUCAAAGUGCUAAAGCUAUGGUUGACUGCUCUGGUGUUUUUAUAUUCAUUCGUGCUUUAGCAUAUAAAUUCUUCAGCAUAAUUGCUACUUAUUUAGCAAGAGUUUCCUUUAUUUGAAAAUGUGAGUUGUGCUUGUAUUUUUGUGUCUUUCUUUCUUUCUUUCUUUUUUUAAACUUUGCUUCAGGCUGGGUAGUGGUAGAGGUUUGAAUUAAAAUGUUUUCCUGUCAGU